rnacentral:misc_RNA from 1 species
AAAGGAAUUAGCAUCCGGAGUACAAGCAGAAGUCUAAGAAAAAUAAGGGCCUUUUUCCAGAACAAAAUGUUGGUGUGGGAAAAUAGAUUUCCUCUGAAGCGAAGUUUGAUCUAUAGAAAAGGUGUCCGUUAUAAGGAGGAGGCCAAAAGGAAAUGGCAGCUUUCACAAAGAUGUAACACUUACAUCUGGCACAACCAAAAGAGAAAUGCUUGCAUAAAGAAGAUCAAUUGAGAUCCCAUCAAACUUAAACUUCAUAACAGGGACAUGUGCAUCUGGGACUGGUUGUAGUUCAGUAACUUCUUCCCUCUCCACCAAAAUAUUAUGCAAUACAAAAAAGAAGUCAUUCUCUCGGUUCACAUAACAUGGUCCAACACAUAAGGUAUCUAUGUCAGCUCCAGGACCAUGCACAUGUGUUAAGGGAGCAGGUGCAGCUUCAAGAAAACAAACAGCAUAGAGCACUGCAGACCCACCCAAUUCACC